CUGGAAGGCUUGAGUACAGAAGAGGAAAGCGGAAUUCCACGUGUAGCGGUGAAAUGCGUAGAGAUGUGGAGGAACACCAGUGGCGAAGGCGGCUUUCUGGUCUGUAACUGACGCUGAGGCGCGAAAGCAUGGGGAGCAAACAGGAUUAGAUACCCUGGUAGUCCAUGCCGUAAACGAUGAGUGCUAAGUGUUAGGGGGUUUCCGCCCCUUAGUGCUGGAGCAAACGCAUUAAGCACUCCGCCUGGGGAGUACGGCCGCAAGGCUGAAACUCAAAGGAAUUGACGGGGACCCGCACAAGCGGUGGAGCAUGUGGUUUAAUUCGAAGCUACGCGAAGAACCUUACCAGGUCUUGACAUCCCGCUGACCGGUAUAGAGAUAUACCUUUCCCUUCGGGGACAGCGGUGACAGGUGGUGCAUGGUUGUCGUCAGCUCGUGUCGUGAGAUGUUGGGUUAAGUCCCGUAACGAGCGCAACCCUUGACCUUAGUUGCCAGCAUUUAGUUGGGCACUCUAAGGUGACUGCCGGUGACAAACCGGAGGAAGGUGGGGAUGACGUCAAAUCAUCAUGCCCCUUAUGACCUGGGCUACACACGUGCUACAAUGGACGGUACAGAGGGUUGCCAACCCGCGAGGGGGAGCUAAUCCCAUAAAACCGUUCCCAGUUCGGAUUGCAGGCUGCAACUCGCCUGCAUGAAGCAGGAAUCGCUAGUAAUCGUGGAUCAGCAUGCCACGGUGAAUACGUUCCCGGGUCUUGUACACACCGCCCGUCACACCACGAGAGUUUGUAACACCCGAAGUCGGUGGGGUAACCCUUUUGGGAGCCAGCCGCCGAAGGUGGGACAGAUGAUUGGGGUGAAGUCGUAACAAGGUAGCCGUAUCGGAAGGUGCGGUUGGAUCACCUCCUUAUCUUGCUG
rnacentral:rRNA from 1 species